UGCUUUCUAUUUCUCUUAUAUUACGUAUAGUGCACUGCAAAUAAUAUAUUUUCUUUCCUUUUCAAUAUGGUAUUUUACUUAUUAAACUAGUUAAUAGUAUGAUAUAUAUAUAUAAGCUAUGACGCCUAACUUCAAAAAGGCUCUCGCCUCGCUUCUCGCCUUAAUAACACUUUGCAAUACACAGUUUAUAGCAUGUAUAUGUACUUUGCAUCAAAAGAAUGUAUAUUCACAAAACAAUUCCAAGUGAUUAAAAUAUAGGUAUCACAAGUGAUACAAGACAUAAAAUAAACAUGCCUCAUUUACAAAAUUCCAUCAACCAGCUCAGUACAAAUUUAAACCAUGGUCUCAAAAGGCGACAGGAAAGCAAGAAGUUUUUAAUUUACUGCUCAACAGUGAGGCACAGUGUAAGCCUCAUAGCAUAGAUGCAAGUCAUCACAAUUUUUCAAAACCAAAAGAAACAAAUAAAAAUAAAGAAAUUAGCUAACAUGUCAAAAGAAAAAAAAAAAUAGCAGUUGCAUAAAAAUAAAGCACAACUUCCAAACUGCUUGUUGGGCAAAUGCAUUUGUCAAGAUAUGUAUCCUACCAAAUUCGCUCAAUUUCAUUAAGAUAACAUCAACCCCAUCCCCCCAUCCAAAAAUAAAAAUAAUGAUGAUGAUAAA
rnacentral:misc_RNA from 1 species